CAAACGCCUCAGUGCAAAUGGAUGGAAGGGCGUCAGCUGUGGAAACUGGAGCUAUUGCGAGCAGCUUGGGUUGCUAGGGAACAGCCCUGAGAACGUUUUGUCUUCAGGCUGCAGAUCCUGGAUCCUCCUGGGAUUUCCAGUUCUAGAGCCACUGCCAGCCAGUGGUGCCAGCAUCAGCAGGCGAUGGGGCUAGGAAAUCUGUGCAGUCCCAGGAGGCUGUGGGCCAGGCAGAGGGGCCCCAGGCUGCCUCUGAGAUUGAGUGUGCAUUAGGGGAUAGGUUUGGGGAGCAGCCCAUGCUGGUGAUUUUCUUUAAACAAAAAUGCUGGUGCCCAGCUUGGUACAGAAAGCCUGGGAGACAGGGGUUUCAACUUCCUGAUAACAGUGCUCCAAUUCGGAGCCCAGAUCUGGUGCUGAUGGAACACUUGCCAAUGGCCCGGUUCAGUGCUGAAUAGGAAGAAGAGCUGGCCAACUUGAGUUAUUACAUCUCUGCCACUCAAGGUGAUGUCAGGUAAGCUGUUGACUCCAGCUGAUCCUCAGUUUUUCUAUCUGUAAAAUGGGCUCAUGAUUAGCUAAAAUAGCGUGCAGAAAGUACAGAGCACAGUAGAUAUUCCCACCCUUUGCAGCCUGGGCCCCAGGGCUGUUUAGAAACCCCAUGAGUGACGCUGAUAUGUUUCAUUCACCACUACCCUGCUCACCUAUCUUCUGCCCCACCAGGCCCCACCCUCAAGCCUUCAAGCCCAGGAACCUGCCUAGACUGUCCAUUCUGAACUUGGGCCAGAUCUUAACCUGCUGGUAAAGCACUGGCUGAGGGUUUAGACUUUCAAGGAAUUUGAGGUUGUUUUCCCUGCCUUAUUGCAACCCAGUGUCUGGCUGCUGAGACCAGAGGCUUGGGCCACCCAAGGGAUGCCUUGCCUAACAGUGCUGGCCUGAGAUUUUGUUAUGUACACUUGCUUUUGUGGCAGUGGCACCAAAGCUAUGCUGGACACAAUUUCCCCUCCAGCACUGUCCAGAAGACCAGAAUGCAGAGUCAUUUUUUCAGCUCCUUUUUGCAAUCUCUGUAGUCUUUUUUGUAUGAGAGGAAGGGACAUAGGAAAGCAAAUUAUCAGCUAGGUACCUACUGUGCUCCUGGCUCAGGGCCUGGCACGUAGAGCUGCCCCAAAAUAUUGAUUAAGAAAAGAGUAGACACCUUUAGGCCAUAAUUUCAUCUAAGACUCUUGGUAAACCAAAGAGGUGAAUUAGCAGCCCCACUUUGCAGAUGGGAAAACUAAGAUUCAGGGAGGUAAGGUGUCUUGCUCACAGUGUACAGUCAGCUCCUGGGGCUGAAAUCUAAGCCACGGUGACCCUUGGGUUCUGAUCACUCCUAUGGGUGUCCUCAUCACACUGGGCUGUUUCCCUGGCACCAAGGUGACACAGGGGUCAGGAAAUGUAGUUUUGGGACAUCUGCCAAAUGGCCCAGCCUAAGGGCCUGAUCAGGACUGAGAUUGCCAGGAUUGGAGCUUUUCUCAGCCAUGUUUGAUAUUGUCAACAAAUCCAGGGAGGACCGGCAGGGUAGAGUGGGUAGAUGGAAGAUGGAGUGGGAAGUAAGAGGUAGGGAGGAAAGGUACAGCCUCAGGUCAGCUGGCCUGAUUCAAAGGGUCAGUCAGAGAGGGCAAGACCACUCCAGCCAUUCUGAGACUACAGGGAGGUUUGAAAGCCAGGCCAGCUGGACAACAGCAUAGAGUGCCAAUCUAUGAGGAGCCCUAAGCCAUCCCUGGGAAUGCAAGAAGAUACAGGAAAUACUGUUCCAUGGACUUCUCCCUGGGGCUAGUGCCUGUGGUUUGGGAAGAUAACUUUGAGCACCUGUGAGCAGUGGGGAGUUGGAGCAGAGAGAGCCCCCAGGGUAGGCCUGUGUAGUCACAUAUCCUCACUCCCCUGCCUUCUAAGGAGGGCCAGCACAGCAUUAGCAGCAGAACUUAUGACUGCUAAGGGGAGUGUGCACGUUUGGACCAGAGCUGAAAACGAGGCAAGAGAGUUCCAAAAACUAAUGCAACCUCUGUCUUCUUCCUCUGCAUUCUCUGCCCUACAGAGUUCUGCCUUGCCUCCAAAUUCCCAUUAGGUCAAUAUUUGAAAAGCACUGGUGUGAAAUUACACUACUUAUGAUCUGCCUGGAUUUCUCAAUUGGCUCAGAGAGGUGUUUGGGGAAUCAGGCUUCCAUAAGAUCAGUCACCCCCAGACUCCCUCGCAUAUUCAACCUCUGCCUAUGAGACACUUAUGGUUAUAGUAAAUAGAUGUCACAAAGGUCUGUGGCCAACCCAAAAUAUCUGGGGCGGCAACACACAAGGGAACAGAGGGAUAGACCUCAAACCAGGGCCCAGCUUCUGCUGCUGGUAAUAUAGGUGACAGCCCAGCCAGGUGGUAAAAUUUAUACAACGAGCUGUCCCAGAAAAACAAAAAGGCUGGAUUCGUAGCAUUUGCCAAUUUCUGUGGUGUAAACACUUUCACUAUUGGGCUUUAUGUUGUUGACUAUGGAGCUGAAAGAAGUGCUCUCACAAAUCUGUAUGAGCCAGCCCCAUCACACAUCUGCAACAGGACUGGGUCCUGUCCCCACUACCUGGAGGGAAACCAGAGAGAAAGAGGGAGACACAGACAUGGAGAGAAAGAAGGAGAGAAAAACAGACAAGUACACUCUGCUGGGAGGAUGUAUAUCUGAAAAUGAGUUGUUAAAACGGUAUAAAAAUUUUUUAAACCCAACUUCAUUAGGAGAUAGAGGUGAGUUGGUGAUAAAGCAUUUUAGCCUUCAAUUCCAACUUCAAUUUCAAGCUUUAUUUGCUUAAGGAAGCUUGGAGAAGAAACACUGUGCAAGGUGCGUGUGCAUAUUUGUGUCUGUGCACACUUGCACACAUAGGUGUGGGGCGCUGUGUUCUGCAGGAAAACUUGGUAUUUGACUUCUACAGAGAGGGCUUGCUUUUAUUGACCUGCACGAAGCCUCCCUGCUCAGGGGUGAGAGGCAUAUCAGAAUGGGUCCAGGCAGCAAGCUCUCUACCAAGCACCUAGAACCCUAUACUACCUUUUGGCAUAGGCAAUUUAUACAAGCGUCUUCUGCACGACCUGUGAGGAGGGCUGCAUAGUCCAUGGGUGUGUCCUCUUUGAGGAGCAGAGGUCAGCUCCCCCACCUGAACCAGACUUCUCCCCUGCCCCACUGGGUCCCCACUUGGGGACUUUGAAUCAGGAAGAGAGUCCCAAGCCCUAACUGCCACACUGGGGACCAGCUCAGAAUUUUCUAGUGACCUGUAGCAAGACCCUCUGACGCAUCCUUCACAGCUGAGGGGAUAGGAGAGUUUUCAAGGCCUAGGUCCAGUGCAACCUUCCAGGAUUCUACCUCCUCAACUCUCAGAUCUCUUAUCUGUGCCCCUCCCUUUCUCCUCGUCAAAGAUGGAGCCUAUAUCUGAGUCUUCUCCACAUCCAUCACACUCACCAAUGAAGAAUGAACAAUGUGUCAGCAGGGAGAUCAGCUGAUUCAAACAUCCCACGUGCAGAUGGGAAAAUUGAGGGCCAUGGCUGCUCCCUUCCUCACACCCUAUUUUAGACCCUACAGUUUCCCCAAGUGUUUUAACUCCUUCUGGGUCCUGGAUGCUUGUCUACCUGGAAUGCCCUUCUUCCUCUUGUCUAUCUGGCAGGUUCCUGUACACCCAUAAAAACCAAUCCCAACAAUCCCCUCCUCUGUGAAGUCUUCACUGAUCUACACCUCUCCCUGACAUCCUGCCAGUAGAGUGAUUUCUCAUCCUCUGGGUCCCAAGUCACUUAGCACCCACCUUUGCAGAUGACCCUGAGACAUGAACUGCAAUACUGCAUCUCUGUCCACUCUGAGGUAUCCCUCUGGGAGGACUGUGCCUGAGCCUGGAAAGAAUGGUCCUGGAGCCCUGGGAUGGGGGAGUCAGGGGAGAAGGAGGCUGGACUUCUGAAUCCCAGAUUUUAUGUGCUGCCUGGAGUUGUUCCUCUCUCCACCAGUCUUCCCUAAGCACCUCACUCCACGAUACCACACACAUACCUGGCAGGGCCUGAGGAGGAAGGAGGGUGAGCUAGUUUAACUUGGGACCUCCUGGGUAGGACCUUCUAGCUGGAACCUAGAAUUGGAAUCUUCCUGAUUUUAGCCUUCACCUUCACAGUCUUUUCAGUUUAAUUCUUUAAGAGAAUAAAGGUUGGAAUAUGAGUUUAUGAAAAAAAAUGGAAAUGUGGACCUCAUAAAAAUGAAACCUUCUCCUUAUCAAGAGACACUACGAAAAGCCUGAAAAGCCAAGCCAUGGAGCAGGAGAAAGCAUUCACAAUAAGCAUAUCUGACAAAGGCCUUCUAUCUAGAAUAUAU
rnacentral:lncRNA from 10 species